rnacentral:rRNA from 1 species
GACGAACGCUGGCGGCGUGCUUAACACAUGCAAGUCGAACGAAGAGCGAUGGAAGCUUGCUUCUAUCAAUCUUAGUGGCGCACGGGUGAGUAACGCGUAAUCAACCUGCCCUUCAGAGGGGGACAACAGUUGGAAACGACUGCUAAUACCGCAUACGAUCUAAUCUCGGCAUCGAGGAUAGAUGAAAGGUGGCCUCUACAUGUAAGCUAUCACUGAAGGAGGGGAUUGCGUCUGAUUAGCUAGUUGGAGGGGUAACGGCCCACCAAGGCGAUGAUCAGUAGCCGGUCUGAGAGGAUGAACGGCCACAUUGGGACUGAGACACGGCCCAGACUCCUACGGGAGGCAGCAGUGGGGAAUCUUCCGCAAUGGACGAAAGUCUGACGGAGCAACGCCGCGUGAGUGAGGACGGCCUUCGGGUUGUAAAGCUCUGUUAAUCGGGACGAAAGGCCUUCUUGCGAAUAGUGAGAAGGAUUGACGGUACCGGAAGAGAAAGCCACGGCUAACUACGUG